CUCGGACGCAGGAGGCCGGCGU
rnacentral:miRNA from 1 species